rnacentral:rRNA from 1 species
GAGCGUAGGGCGCGAGCGUUGUCCGGAUUUAUUGGGCGUAAAGAGCUCGUUAGGCGGCUUGUCGCGUCGUCUGUGAAAUCCCACGGCUCAACCGUGGAACUGCUGGGCAUACUGCGGGUCUUGGGCCAACUAGGGGGCAGCCGGAACAAGCGGUGGAGCGGUGAAAUGCGUAGAUAUCGCUUGGAACGCCGGAAGGUGAAAACAGGCUGCUGGGGUGCGCCGACGCGUGGAGAACACGAAAGC